AUUGAACGCUGGCGGCAUGCCUUACACAUGCAAGUCGAACGGCAGCACGGGUGCUUGCACCUGGUGGCGAGUGGCGAACGGGUGAGUAAUACAUCGGAACGUACCUUAUCGUGGGGGAUAACGCAGCGAAAGCUGUGCUAAUACCGCAUACGCCCUGAGGGGGAAAGCGGGGGAUCGAAAGACCUCGCGCGAUUAGAGCGGCCGAGGCCUGAUUAGCUUGUUGGUGGGGUAAAAGCCCACCAAGGCGACGAUCAGUAGCUGGUCUGAGAGGACGGGCAACCACACUGAGACUGAGGCCCGCCCCGGAUGCCAACGGGAGCCAGCAGGGGGGAAUUUUGAAGAAGGGGGGCAACCUGGAUCCAGCAAUGCCGGGUGAGUGAAGAAGGCCUUCGGGUUGUAAAGCUCUUUUGUCAGGGAAGAAACACCGGCUCUAACACAGUCCGGAAAUGACGGACCGGAAGAAUAAGCACCGGCUAACUACGUGCAAGCCGCCGCGGUAA
rnacentral:rRNA from 1 species